rnacentral:rRNA from 1 species
UAUGUAGGCGGUUAUGUAAGUGUGGAUUGAAAGACCAGGGCUUAACCCUGUGUUUGGUCUGCAAACUACAUAACUAGAGUUCAGGAUGGGAAGCUGGAAUUCCACGUGUAGGAGUGAAAUCUGUAGAGAUGUGGAAGAAUACCGGCGGCGAAGGCGAGCUUCUGGCCUGAAACUGACGCUAAUGUACGAAAGCGUGGGGAGCGAACAGGAUUAGAUACCCUGGUAGUCC